AAGGAGCUUGCAGCCGGGAGCUGCGCGGCCGCGCUGAGAGUCACGUGGUGCGCCGGGAAGCCGCCCCGCCUCUUGGAGAGCUCACGGCCUCGCUCCGCUCCUUUCCUGGCGGGAGGCUCUGAGCCACCCGCAACUGUGCAGGGCGGCCAGGGGUUAAAACAAAGUCACAAGUCAGACCCACACUCACAGGGAGAAGAUUAUGCAAGAGCAAAAGCACGAGAUGGAAACCAUGGGGCCAUCUUAUAGUCUGUCUGCCGCAGAAAGAUGAUCACAAAUCCUGCCUAGCUUCAUCAAUGUCCAGCCUCCAGAGGGCCUUCCCAGGAGGGUAGGCGUUAAUGCAAGCAAGUGGUGGUCUGCAUAGCUGAGCAGAGUCUGCUGUGUUUCUGAUAAAUUGUGAAGAGCCACAGACCUUUGCCUAAUGAAGGGCCUCAAGCUCCUGCUGGAAAUAAAAUAGUGUGGGAUAGAGAGCACCUCAAGAGUACACAGGAGACCAUCUCUUUUACUGAUGUGCGGGACAGGCCUGGCCAGUGAGUUAGGUGUGAGUUCAGAUCCCAAACAAGACACCAAGGUAACUUACAGGGGGAAUGUUGGGAGGAUUCAAGGAAGAACUCAGAGUGGCUAGAAUGUUUAUUUAGAGAACAACAGAAAUUAUCUGACAAACUGGGUAAACCACUUGGCAUUUUUUGUCUUUUUCCCUUUUGUUGCUUCAACGAACCAUGUUUUAGCCUGUACUUGUUAUUCUCCAUGUUCCUCCAUGUUCUGUCCAUGGAGCUUUCUCCUUUAGUUUUAAAAAUCAUGGCUGGGCACGGUGGCUCAUGCCUGUAAUCUCAGCACUUUGGGAGGCCGAGGCAAGCAGAUCACAAGGUCAGGAAAUUGAGACCAUCCUGGCUAACACGGUGAAACCCCGUCUCUACUAAAAAAUACAAAAAAUUAGCCAGGUGUGGUGGCAGGUGCCUGUAGUCCCAGCUACUCGGGAGGCUGAGGCAGGAGAAUGGCACGAAUCCGGGAGGCAGAGCUUGCAGUGAGCCGAGAUUGCGCCACUGCACUCCAGCCUGGGUGACAGAGCGAGACUCUGUUUCAAAAAAUUAAAAUUAAAAUUAAAAAAAAAUAAAAUUGCAGAAGUUUGGGUUGGUUUUAGUUUUGCUGGUUUUUUACACCUCUUGAAGAAGAGAGGUUUACCAAGAGCACUGCAUUCUCCAAUAAAGCAAAUGGGCUGGGCUCAGUGGCUCACACAGAUAAUCCCAGCCCUUUGGGAGGCUGUGGCAGGAGGAUCACUUGAGCCCAGAAGUUCAAGACCAGCCUGGACACCAUAUUGAAACCUUGUUUCUACAAAAAAUAUAAAAUUAACUGGGGGUGGUGGCGCAUGCCUGUAGUCCCAGCUGACAUGUGUAGUGCCAGCUGACAUGUGUAGUCCCAGCUGACAUGCAAGGAUUGCUUGAGCCUGGGCGUUCAAGGCUGCAGUGAGCUAUAAUCUUACCACUGCACUCCAGCCUGCGUGAUAGAGCAAGACUCUCUCCCUUGUACAGUAAAAUAAAAUAAAUAAAAAUAAUAAUAAAACAAGGGAAGAUGACAGUUCAAUGUACAUUCAAUCUUUAGUAAUUGCUAAAAUAUCUUUGCAUCUAUUUAUAAAAAGAGAUAAAUCUUUCCAUAAUUCAUCAGAGAGUAGUGGGUUUUAGUAACUGUAGUAUAAUGUGUAACUCAUUUGCUCCAUGAAGCACUAACUUCCAUACAAGUAAUUUUUUGUAUGUGUGUUGUGUAUGUUUAUGUGUGUUGGGAGAAAGUCUAGACUCCUUACCCACAAAAAGAAAGUGAAUUCCAGAAAAGGUUUAACUUAUCUAGGAAGAGAAGAAAACUAAUGCAAAUCUUGCUAUUAACUUAAUGCAUCACGAAAAUUACUUCACCUAAGUGUUUUGUGCCAUAUUUUCUAGCAUCUGUAGUAUGAUUAUAAUAAUAACCUUCUUAGAGAAGAAAAUCUUUUUUUCCAAAAAUUACACUGCCCUCAAUCACGAAUUUUGCUUCAAAAUUCAUAUUUACAUUCUGUUUUAUAAGGUUAUUUUUCUAAAUACUUUUUCAACCCAAAUGUCAUGCAAAUGUUUUGAAAUCAUCACAAUGAAAAGCACAAUGUUCAAGUCUGUAGAAGGCAACAUUCCAUUGUAGAUGUUCCUUUAUUACUUUUUCUUUUCCAUGCUUACAUUCAUAAAUUUUUAAAGUAUGCACAGUACCUCCUAAAGAAACAUAUUUAAAUAACAUUUGAUUUAGCAAUAUAUUUGAGUGGAAUACUUGCAUUUUUUUUACUCACUUAUAGGAAGACAAAGAUAUGGCUUUGUGGAAAAAGAUUUAUUUCGUCUAAAUUCUACAUAAAUUAUGCAUUUCCAAUAAAUCAAAAUUUUCUCCUUUUUUUUCAUUUUUGUUGAAAACAUCCCACUUUUUACAAUACAUUUUUGUAUUAUUACAAUGAAAGGGUUUGAACUACAAUUACAAAGUUGCAGAAGAAUAUGGUCAUUUAAGAGCUUGAUUAAUUUUUGUUUUUUAAAUUGUAAUUGUUUUUUGUCUUAGAGGACUUCAUAAUUAAUUUUCAAUGUAAGCGAUAUUCUUUGGAGGCAUCACCCACAGAUUACAAAAUGUUAUUUCUCUAUUUUAUAGCCAUUAAGGAAAUAUUUGGAAUUUUGAAUGAGUCUCUACAAAGAGAAAAGUUGUGAAUCACUACUGACCCUCAGGAAAUGAAUGAGGCUAGUUGUAGAAAGCUUCAUGCAGAUAGAAAUUAAAAAUCACUUUCUUAUUUUCCAGGUUAUAGAAAUGCUCUUUAAGACCAACUGGAGAUGUCAGUAUGACUCAUGUAUAUUUUACAGAGGUCAAUUUGAUAUAGAAACCAAAUUGACAUAGAAUUCAAUUAUACACUCAUACAUACAGACACACGCAAGUGUGUGUGGGCGUGUAUCUUUUAUUACUUACAGAAAGCUAUUUAUUAAAGUUUACUUUCAUAAAAAGACAAAGUCCGGUUCCUUGGUCACCACAGACAGUGUUUUCAAAUGAAUCCUAUCAUUUUAGCAGACUGUAUGAUGUUUUCAUAACAUUGUAGUUAAAGAUGCAGGCUUUGGUACAGCCAUAUGAUGGAUACCACCCAGAAAUAGAAGAGGAGGGGAUGCUUGAUUUAGGCAACAACACGGAUGGUUCUUAAAUGCACUUUUCUAAAUGAAAGACACCAAAUUCAAAAGGCUGUACACUGUAUGUCACACUUCAUGUGACAUUAUGGAAAAGGCAAACUAUAGGAAAGGUAAACAUACCAAGAUCUGUGGUUCCCAAGGGCUGGUUGCCUCUCAAGGGAGCAGGAGCUGUCUAAAAAGUGGCCACACAAGGGGAUUUUUAGGGUGAUAGAACUGUUCUAUGUGGUACUUUGAUGCAUAUUUGAUGCAUUUUUUACACCACAAGGAUAAACUUAACCACGUGCAAACUUUUAUUACAGUUUUUGAUAGCUUUACUGAGGCACAACUGACAUAAAAAGACCUGUACACAUUUCACCAUAUACAAACAUUAACUCAAGAUAGAUUAAAGAAGAAAACCUAGGAAACACCAUUCUGAACAUCAGCCUUUGGAAAGAAUUUAUGACUACGUCAUCAAAAGCAAUGGCAACAAAACCAAAAAUUGACAAGUGGAACUUAAUUAAACUAAAGAGCUUCUGCACAGCAAAAGAAACUAUAAACAGAGUAAACAGACAACAUACAGAACGGGAGAAAAUAUUCACAAACUACAUAUACAACAAAGUUCUUAUUUCCAGAAUCUAUAAGGAACUUUAACA